rnacentral:rRNA from 1 species
CACGUAGGGCGCAAGCGUUGUCCGGAAUUAUUGGGCGUAAAGAGCUCGUAGGCGGUCUGUUGCGUCCGCUGUGAAAACUCGGGGCUUAACCCCGAGCCUGCAGUGGAUACGGGCAGACUAGAGUGCGGUAGGGGAGAUUGGAAUUCCUGGUGUAGCGGUGGAAUGCGCAGAUAUCAGGAGGAACACCAGUGGCGAAGGCGGCUCUCUGGGCCUUUCCUGACGCUGAGACGCGAAAGCGUGGGGAGCGAACCGG